rnacentral:rRNA from 1 species
CGAAUCUCGAAAGCCUGUCUCAGUUCGGAUUGGAGGCUGAAACCCGCCUCCAUGAAGUUGGAUUCGCUAGUAAUCGCGCAUCAGCCAUGGCGCGGUGAAUACGUUCCCGGGCCUUGUACACACCGCCCGUCAAGCCAUGGGAGCCGGGGGUGCCUGAAGUUCGUGACCGCAAGGAGCGACCUAGGGCAAAACUGGUGACUGGGGCUAAGUCGUAACAAGGUACC